GUGUCAGCAGCCGCGGUAAUACAGAGGGUGCGAGCGUUAAUCGGAAUUACUGGGCGUAAAGCGCACGUAGGUGGUUUUGUAAGUCGGAUGUGAAAUCCCCGGGCUCAACCCGGGAACUGCAUUCGAGACUGCAUUACUCGAGUAUGGGAGAGGGAAGCGGAAUUUCCGGUGUAGCGGUGAAAUGCGUAGAUAUCGGAAGGAACAUCAGUGGCGAAAGCGGCUUCCUGGCCCAAUACUGACACUCAUGUGCGAAAGCGUGGGGAGCAAACAGGAUUAGAUACCCCCGUAGUCC
rnacentral:rRNA from 1 species